rnacentral:rRNA from 1 species
UAGGGAAUCUUGCGCAAUGGGCGAAAGCCUGACGCAGCCAUGCCGCGUGAAUGAUGAAGGUCUUAGGAUUGUAAAAUUCUUUCACCGGGGAAGAUAAUGACGGUACCCGGAGAAGAAGCCCCGGCUAACUUCGUGCCAGCAGCCGCGGUAAUACGAAGGGGGCUAGCGUUGCUCGGAAUUACUGGGCGUAAAGGGCGCGUAGGCGGAUGUUUAAGUCGGGGGUGAAAGCCCGGGGCUCAACCUCGGAAUUGCCUUCGAUACUGGACAUCUUGAGUACGGGAGAGGUGAGUGGAACUCCGAGUGUAGAGGUGAAAUUCGUAGAUAUUCGGAAGAACACCAGUGGCGAAGGCGACUCACUGGCCCGUUACUGACGCUGAGGCGCGAAAGCGUGGGGAGCAAACAGGAUUAGAUACCCUGGUAGUCCACGCCGUAAACGAUGAGUGCUAGUUGUCGGCAUGCAUGCAUGUCGGUGACGCAGCUAACGCAUUAAGCACUCCGCCUGGGGAGUACGGUCGCAAGAUUAAAACUCAAAUGAA